rnacentral:rRNA from 1 species
AGUCGAGCGGCAGCACGGGUACUUGUACCUGGUGGCGAGCGGCGGACGGGUGAGUAAUGCCUAGGAAUCUGCCUGGUAGUGGGGGAUAACGCUCGGAAACGGACGCUAAUACCGCAUACGUCCUACGGGAGAAAGCAGGGGACCUUCGGGCCUUGCGCUAUCAGAUGAGCCUAGGUCGGAUUAGCUAGUUGGUGAGGUAAUGGCUCACCAAGGCGACGAUCCGUAACUGGUCUG